AACGAACGCUGGCGGCAGGCUUAACACAUGCAAGUCGAACGCCCCGCAAGGGGAGUGGCAGACGGGUGAGUAACGCGUGGGAAUCUACCGUACCCUACGGAAUAACGCAUGGAAACGUGUGCUAAUACCGUAUACGCCCUACGGGGGGAAAGAUUUAUCGGGGUAUGAUGAGCCCGCGUUGGAUUAGCUAGUUGGUGGGG
rnacentral:rRNA from 1 species